UACGUAGGGGGCGAGCGUUGUCCGGAAUUACUGGGCGUAAAGGGCGCGCAGGCGGCCGUGUAAGUCCGCUGUGAAAGACCGGGGCUCAACCCCGGGGUGUCAGCGGGGACUGCACGGCUGGAGUCCCGGAGGGGGAGGCGGAAUACCUGGUGUAGCGGUGGAAUGCGUAGAGAUCAGGUGGAACACCGAUGGCGAAGGCAGCCUCCUGGACGGGGUACUGACGCUGAGGCGCGAAAGCGUGGGGAGCGAACGGGAUUAGAUACCCGG
rnacentral:rRNA from 1 species